UUAAUCGUUCUAGGGAUCAAAUUUAAAGGAGAUUCAGAGGUGGAACAUUAUUCUUAACAGUGUUAUUAAACUGGAUUCCCUACAACGCGAGCCGCAAUUUUCACUGAAAAUUAUACUCGAGGUUGUAAGGAAUACGCGUUACCGUAACGUAUCAUGAUUUUUGGUGCGUUCAACCGAGAAACUUACUAGACCGUUAUUUCAAUCUGUUGUUAUGUUGACUCCUUCGCCAAUUUUCGCCAAAACGCGAUGCAAAGAAAAAUAUUAUAGUGCAAAAUUUACUGGAAACCUUUUGUACGUUAUACUAUCUUGUCAUAAAGUGCUUAACGUUUCACAAAGGUCUUGGAAACAAACAUACAAUCAGUAGACGCAUUAUCGCACGAUAAAGUGAAGUGUCCAUCGCGAUCUUACAUAUAGUCGAGGGAAACUGCUUUUCAGAAAUGAAAAUUGAAUUACUUUCGUGAUUUUAAUUCAACCCAUAUCAAUAUUAAGACAGCUUCGAUGGAUGCAUAAAAAUAAUAUUGUCUCGGCCAUAAUUUCAGCGAAUUUUGCAAGGUAUAAAUAGCUGCGCAACAAAUAUUUUUUACAUAGGUGCAUACAUUUUUCCAUUGAAAAUUACAUAACGAGGAGAAACCGAAAAAAUGGAGGGUAUAAAAUUCUUGCUCAGUAUGGUGGUCGUUUUUAUGAUUGCUUUUAUCUCUUUAGGCAACGCAGAACCCGAAGCUGACCCGAUGGCAAGCCCGGAUCCUGAAGCUGAUCCAGUAAUCCUCGGAUUACUAUCGACACUUCUUCCCCACUUGGCCAAUCUUGGCUAAAAUGUAUGUAUAGAAUUUAAAAUAAACAGAAAUUGAUAAUGCAAAUUUUUCGUUUCGUCUCAUGAUUCUUGUUCCUUGUUCCCUCCGCUACAUCCUUUGACAAACUUUGGAAAUUCAAGACUGUUGGGUUACACCUUGCAAGAAGAAAGGAAAUUAAACGAAAGCAAAACGGAAGAAAUCAAAAUAGUUUUAUAAAUUUUAAUCGCUAAUACUCCACGUCUAUACGUUGUAUACCAUUUUAUUAUAAUCAUCGAUAUCUAUGAACACGAUGGAUUUAUAUCUGUAUUCUAUAGAAGCAUCGUAGGAAUAAUAGUUUUUUCGCAGUUACGCCUUUUUUUUUUAUUUCGAAAGAAACUGUUUCGCCGACCGUUUCAGCCGAAAGUCUCGAAGGUAGACUUUAUUGCACAAUAAACUGAGGCGACUAUAACGCUCGUAGAUUAUGGUUCAAAGUAUUAUCUUUACAACAAAGGAAGUUCUAAUACCCGUAAGCGUUAUAAUGCCAUUGUUUAUCAUAAAUUUUGCAAUCGUUCGGCGAAGAGACAUUGUAUUUACAUUCGACGCGAUCAUCGAGUAUCUCUUUGAUAGUUUAAUAUGAAUGCAUACAAAUAAUAUUGUCUCGACAACAAUUUUAGUUGAUUUUGCCCGAUAUAAAUAACUGUGCGACAAGUGUUUUCGAUAGUGCAGCAGAAAUUUUUAUAACCAAGAUUAAAGUGACAAGGUGUGACCAGAAAUAUAGAGUCUGUACGAUUUUUACUAGCAAUGAUUUUUUUUCUUUGGCAAGCCCGAGGACAGAAAAGCCUGAAUAUGAAAGCAGUAAGAUUUUUGCUCGGUGCAGCGAUCUCUCUGAUGAUUGGCCUAAUUUCUUACUCCGGGGCCAAUCCUGUGGCUGAUGCGG